rnacentral:rRNA from 1 species
CCAGACUCCUACGGGAGGCAGCAGUGAGGAAUAUUGGUCAAUGGCCGAGAGGCUGAACCAGCCAAGUCGCGUGAGGGAAGACUGCCCUAUGGGUUGUAAACCUCUUUUGUCAGGGAGCAACGCCGGCUACGUGUAGCCGGACUGAGAGUACCUGAAGAAAAAGCAUCGGCUAACUCCGUGCCAGCAGCCGCGGUAAUACGGAGGAUGCGAGCGUUAUCCGGAUUUAUUGGGUUUAAAGGGUGCGUAGGCGGAAUGCCAAGUCAGCGGUAAAAUUGCGGGGCUCAACCCCGUACUGCCGUUGAAACUGCAUCCCUUGAGUGCGCGAGAAGUAUGCGGAAUGCGUGGUGUAGCGGUGAAAUGCAUAGAUAUCACGCAGAACUCCGAUUGCGAAGGCAGCAUACCGGCGCCCGACUGACGCUGAGGCACGAAAGCGUGGGUAUCGAACAGGAUUAGAUACCCGAGUAC